GAAAGUUUUCCUUCUAUGAGAGGAGAUACCUAUAGAGAAAGAGAAUGGAAAAGGGAAAAUGUGAGUACAGAGAAAUUGGCACUGAUUUCCAUCACAAAAAGAGACUCUACAAAGCUCUGGAGGAAAGUUACACCACCGCAUAGGCUGAUGUUGGAUGACUAGACUGUUGUCAGGAGACUUAAUAACCAGGUAAGCACUUUACACUGGUUAAAAUCCAAAUCAUAAAUAUGCUUUAUAUUUACUUGAAUUCAAACCCUUUAUGCCCUUUCAGAAUAUUUAAAGAAAACUAGUAAAUGUUCUUGAUAAAGUUCAUUUUCAGUUUAAAUAGUAUCAUAAAAAAUCAUGUUCUGACAUCUAGAACACAUAUGCAAUUACAUGAACCAAUUUUGAAAAUUGAAAAGCUGAUUAGAGUAAAAUAGACCUAGUUUUUAAUGUAUUUAAUAAUAUCUGAAGGGAGAACUUGCUUUGCUUUGG
rnacentral:lncRNA from 1 species